AACGAACGCUGGCGGCAGGCUUAACACAUGCAAGUCGAACGCCCCGCAAGGGGAGUGGCAGACGGGUGUGUAACGCGUGGGAACAUACCCUUUUCUACGGAAUAGCUCUGGGAAACUGGGAUUAAUACCGUAUAAGCCCUACGGGGGAAAGAUUUAUCGGGGAAGGAUUGGCCCGCGUUGGAUUAGCUAGUUGGUGGGGUAAAGGCCUACCAAGGCGACGAUCCAUAGCUGGUCUGAGAGGAUGAUCAGCCACAUUGGGACUGAGACACGGCCCAAACUCCUACGGGAGGCAGCAGUGGGGAAUAUUGGACAAUGGGCGCAAGCCUGAUCCAGCCAUGCCGCGUGAGUGAUGAAGGCCUUAGGGUUGUAAAGCUCUUUCACCGAUGAAGAUAAUGACGGUAGUCGGAGAAGAAGCCCCGGCUAACUUCGUG
rnacentral:rRNA from 1 species